rnacentral:rRNA from 1 species
UACAGAGGUCCCAAGCGUUUGUUCGGAUUCAUUGGGCGUAAAGGGUGCGUAGGCGGCGCGGUAAGUCGGGUGUGAAAUCUCGGAGCUUAACUCCGAAACUGCAUUCGAUACUGCCGUGCUUGAGGACUGGAGAGGAGACUGGAAUUUUACGGUGUAGCGGUGAAAUGCGUAGAUAUCGGGAGGAACACCGGUGGCGAAGGCGGCGCCUGGUUCGAUACUGACACUGAGGUGCGAAAAGCGUGGGGGAGCAAAACAGGG